UUUAAUGAUGACAAAAGGCUUUUGCCUGAAAUUAACCCAGCUCUUCGAAAGCCUCACCUAUAAACAACGCUUAGAGGUCUUUAUGAGAAGACGUCCUGUCUGAUCUU
rnacentral:snoRNA from 1 species